AUUGAACGCUGGCGGCAGGCUUAACACAUGCAAGUCGAGCGAGCGGCGGACGGGUGAGUAAUGUAUGGGGAACUGCCUGAUAGAGGGGGAUAACUACUGGAAACGGUGGCUAAUACCGCAUACCAUCGGAUGUACCCAUAUGGGAUUAGCUAGUAGGUGGGGUAAAGGCUCACCUAGGCUACGAUCUCUAGCUGGUCUGAGAGGAUGAUCAGCCACCCUGGAACUUAGACACGGCCCAGACUCCUGCGUGAGGCAGCAGUGGGGAAUAUUGCACAAUGGGCGCAAGACUGAUGCAGCCAUGCCGCGUGUAUGAAGAAGGCCUGAGGGUUGUAAAGUACUUUCAGCGAGGAGGCGUUACUCGCAGAAGAAGCACCGGCUAACUCCGUGCCAGCAGCCGAGGUAAUUC
rnacentral:rRNA from 1 species